rnacentral:lncRNA from 1 species
CUGGUAAUCAAUUUUUUUCUCUUCAACAUUUAACACUAUAAUGUGUGGGGAAACUCUUGAUUCAGAAUAUUUUUUAUCAUCUGUAGAACCAGAAUUGUUAUCUUUAUCCAAUUGGGGUUCGGAAUAUUUCCAUCCCCCCUAUUUAGAGUCAAAUGGUCAUUCCCUUGCUGCUAGAAAAGUUGUCCGAAAACGUUUCAUUCGAUUCUACGUAAUAAACAUUUUUAAUUGACAUAGAGUUUACAAGUGUGAACAAAUC